GGGGUUGUGGCUUAGUGUUAGAGUGCUUGCCUCACAUGCAUGAGGCCCUGGGUUCAAUCCUCAGCACCACA
rnacentral:tRNA from 1 species